CGUAUAUUAAAGUUGUUGCAGUUAAAAAGCUCGUAGUCGGAUGUCGGGCUCGGGCAGGCUGUCGGCUUCGGUCGGACGGCAGGCUCGGGUCUUUCUGCCUGAGGAUCCCGUGCACUUUAUUGUGGGCGGGGGACGCAGGCCGUUUACUUUGAAAAAAUUAGAGUGUUCAAAGCAGGCCUACGCUUGAAUACAUUAGCAUGGAAUAAUGGAAUAGGACUUUGGUGCUAUUUUGUUGGUUUAUGGGACCGAAGUAAUGAUUAACAGGGACAGUUGGGGCCGUUUAUAUUUCGUUGUCAGAGGUGAAAUUCUUGGAUUUACGAAAGAUAAACUUCUGCGAAAGCAUUCGGCAAGGAUGUUUUCAUUGAUCAAGAACGAAAGUUAGGGGAUCGAAGACGAUCAGAUACCGUCGUAGUCUUAACCAUAAACUAUGCCGACUAGGGAUCAGUGGAUGUCAAUUUGCGACUCCAUUGGCACCUUGUGAGAAAUCAAAGUUUUUGGGUUCCGGGGGGAGUAUGGUCGCAAGGCUGAAACUUAAAGGAAUUGACGGA
rnacentral:rRNA from 1 species